AUUAUUUCAGCCUGGUAUCUGCCAAAAGCCCUUCCUGGGGCGACGCUGUGCACUGUGCUGGAGAAAUGAGGUGCCUUUACAUGCAGAGCCCAGCUCUGCCUCCACACAACCCAAGGUAUUUCAGGGUCAUCCCCAUCAGCUGCCAGCCCCAGAUGGGCACAAACAUAUGCUGCAGCCCGAGAACAGGGGUGGAAAAACAGCGAAAAGCCAUUUUCACCCCUAAAAAAGCAAUUUGGGCUCCAGGUCCCGUUGUGUCCCAUUGUAUCCCAGCAAAAGAAGGAGUCUGGAAGCAUGAAAUAAUAAUAAACCACAAUGCUCUCAGAGAGUGUUCUUUCUAGAUGAGGCGACAGGUUCCUGGUUAGUGCUGUCAUUGUCUUCAUGUUUUUUUAUAUUUCUUGGAGUAAAUGUUUAAAUAAAGGACAUUGUGU
rnacentral:lncRNA from 1 species